GAUGAACGCUAGCGGCGUGCCUAAUACAUGCAAGUCGAGCGAACAGAUCAUGAGCUUGCUCCUUUCGCGUUAGCGGCGGAUGGGGGAGUUACACGUUGGUAACCUCCCUAGAAUACUGGGAUAACUUCGGGAAACCGGAGCUAAUACCGUAUAGCAUUUCGAACCGCAUGGUUCUAAAGUGAGAUGUGGUUUGGCUAUCAUUUGUAGAUUUACCCGCUCAGUAUCAGAUAGUUGCUAAGGGAACGGCUUACCAAGGCGACGAUACGUAGCCGACCUGCAAAGGUGAGAGGAACCCCCGGAAUUGAAACAAGGUCCAGACUCCAACGGGAGGCAGGAGUAGGGAAUGUUACGAAAUGGAAGAAAGCGUGACCGAGCAACGCCGCGUGAGUGACGAAGAGUAUCGGUUAGUAAAACUAAGUUAUUAGGGAAGAACAAAUGUGUAAGUAACUGUGAAAUUGUUGACGGUACCUAAUGAGAAAGCAACGGCUAACUCCGUG
rnacentral:rRNA from 1 species